UCAGGUCCUGGGCAUGCUGGCCCGGCUGGCCCCAGUCUCCUCUGCCAGGCCACCAGAUGGGCAGUCUGACUGGCCGGGUGACCCGGGCCGGGACCCUCCCCUCCCUGGGCCUCCCUCGCCUCUACCUGCUCCUCCUACUUGGCAGGGCUGUUGGGGUGUUCUAGAAGCCCCUGGACACCCCAGAAAUGGGAGGGAGCACUUUGAGUAUUCUUUUUACAAAAGGGGAAACUGAGGGCAAGAGCAGGGAAGGGUUACUCCCGUUUAGGAGAGGAGAGGGCUGAGGCCCGGGAGGGGCAGCACUGUCUCCCCCCCAGCCCUGGGUGAGAGAGGGCCAGAAUCACGGGCUCCACCGUACAGUGCAGUAAGCAGAGACACGGGCAGACUGAACGAGCUGUCCAAGGUUACUCCCAGGGACACUUUGUUGCAAAAGCUGGGAUCUGCCCCGGGGGCCCCGCGGUGAGCCCUCCCCUGGGGCGUGGGGGGCACGGCAAGGCCAGGGCUGGUGCCCGCGGAGACGAGGGCUUGGCCGCACUGAGAUCGCCCUCCCAAGCGGCGUCGGGCAGAGAAGAGGAGUCGCGAAGGGACUGCGGCCAGCCAGGGCACUCACCUACCCUGCGGGGCUCAGCCGGGGGGCCUCGUCAUGGCCGGCUCCAGGCCCCUCUCGGCUGCCCGGCUGGAUGUCCGCAGGGCUUGUCGGCCGGGUCUCUGUUCUGGAAAAGCCAUUUUUGGGGAAGUCCAAGGCUCUCAGGAUCCUCCUGGCACUGUAUCUUCCUUCCUCACCUUGGAUUUCAGGGCUGGAAACGGCAAGGAAAACCAGAGGCUGACAGUUCACAUAUCCUUAAAUAUACAGUAAGUGCUUUCCUCACUCUUCCGAAAAUCCCCAGCCUCAGAUCUUCACUAGCCUCCAGGGCUUUCCCCUUUAUUCCCCCACCUGAUAUUAUUCAAUGGUAGCACUUGGGUUUGCAGGCCUCCGGC
rnacentral:lncRNA from 1 species